AACUUCAUUCAUCAAACCACUGGUUGUGAUUGACCAUGUCACAAUCUUCAAUCUUCUGAAUGAAAGAAAAUCGGAUACGGUAAGACGGAUGAAGACAAACCGACUAUUCGUUGUUCAUUUUUACCAUUUCUAAAGCAAUGGUGCUGGUAAAAAAGAAACCUAUUCUAUACAAGUCAAUAAAGUACAUAGGACAAAUGCGUAGGGGAUACGGGUAUGGUCAAAAAAAAUUAAAACACACCAUUCAUCCUGAUCUCGGAAUCGGUACGCACACAGGCUCCUACAAAUUUAUAUUGUUAUUCUUUUUUUGUUUGAAUUUGAUUCUCUUUAAUCCCGAUGAAUCCAGUGUUUUAGGUUGGUCUCUACAGUAUGCCGUAGGAAUCGUUUUACUCUUGCACAAUGAGUUGAAGUAUGAUAGACAAUUGUAAUUUAAAAGUGGUCUUUACAGUUUCCAAUUUUUGCUCUUUUCAUUUUCAAUACAUGCCUUCCUUUAAAUAAAAAUUUUUCUUGGUUUAUGAGUUUUUUGUAUGUGCAGGCUUCAACAAUACAAGGUGUUUGAGAUGAAACUUCUUGCUCAGCAGGGGGAUCUUCACAUAGUAUCUAUGUUGAAUGAACUGAAGUGAACAUAGAUUGCUUAAAACAUAAUAAGAAAACAAAUAAUAUGCGAAGAUAUCGAGAAAUGCUUAUAUGUUGUUGCUACUUUACAAACUAAGGACAAGGACGAGGUUUACUUGAGUGAUUGUUUAAUGUAAUAGGGUUGCUUGGGCGAUGUUGUUGUUCUCUUCCAAGCAAACACGCAUACUGCGUACAACUUCAGCACGCGUCCAAUUUCGUUCAAAGUUGAAAGGUAAUAUUCUGUAAUCAAAUGGUUACCAUCUCAUUUUUAACAUAUGCAUCUCACAUAGAUGAAUACACAUUUAGUCUACAAUAUUGGGUUUCAAUCCUAGGUUUAAUGUCAGUGUUAUUUUUAGGUUGAUAACUGUCAUCAUCUAGACCUAUGUUACUUUGUAGAAUAAAACUGAAAAUAAUGUAGAGCCUUGGUUAAUAUCAAUCGAAACAAUUAUUGUUUGAUUCACAAACAUCAAUUCUCCCACUUUAGAUGCUAAAGACAGGUCAGAUGGUUAUUCUCAAUGUAGUAGCUGGAGGUAGGGGUGUUUAUGGUACGGUUUGGACGAUUUUUAUGUCAAACCGUGAGCUAAACUGUUAGUAACGGUUUUUGAUCUUCGAAAACCGAAAUCAAACUUUUACAAUUUGAAACCAAACUGAACCGUUACUAACAGUUU